rnacentral:rRNA from 1 species
CAAUAGCGUAUAUUAAAGUUGUUGCGGUUAAAAGCUCGUAGUUGGAUUUCUGCAGGGUAGGCACGGUCGCCAUCUUAUGGCUGAUUGUUGCAAACCCCGCAUCUUCUCGAUUGAUGAAUUUGUGCUUGAUUGCAUGGUUUAUUGUUCGAGACUUUUACUUUGAGGAAAUUAGAGUGUUCAUAGCAAGCUAACGCUUUGAAUAUAUUAGCAUGGGAUAAUAAUAUAAGACUGAGUUUUUAUUUUGUUGGUUUCUAGGAAUUCAGUAAUGAUAAAUAGGGGUUGUCGGGGGUACUAGUAUUAACGCGUCAGAGGUGGAAUUCUUGGAUUGCGUUACGACUAACUACUGCGAAAGCAUUUACCAAGGAUGUUUUCAUUGAUCAAGAACGAAAGUUUGGGGAUCGAAGACGAUUAGAUACCGU